rnacentral:rRNA from 1 species
UGGGGAAUUUUGGACAAUGGGCGCAAGCCUGAUCCAGCAAUGCCGCGUGCAGGAUGAAGGCCUUCGGGUUGUAAACUGCUUUUGUACGGAGCGAAAAGGCGAUUUUUAAUACGAAAAGCUAAUGACGGUACCGUAAGAAUAAGCACCGGCUAACUACGUGCCAGCAGCCGCGGUAAUACGUAGGGUGCAAGCGUUAAUCGGAAUUACUGGGCGUAAAGCGUGCGCAGGCGGUUUUGUAAGACAGAUGUGAAAUCCCCGGGCUCAACCUGGGACCUGCAUAUGUGACUGCAAGACUAGAGUGUGGUAGAGGGGGAUGGAAUUCCGCGUGUAGCAGUGAAAUGCGUAGAUAUGCGGAGGAACACCGAUGGCGAAGGCAAUCCCCUGGACCUGAACUGACGCUCAUGCACGAAAGCGUGGGGAGCAAACAGG